UUUUCCUCCUGUCCUAAAUGGUGGCUGAUUGUUACUCUGUGUGUUGCUAAUAGCUGUUAAAGUGUACCCUGGAGACCCCUGAAUCCAGCAAGGGAAGAAAUGUCUAUCACAAACAAUUUGCCAUCUCACUUUCUCAAAGUUUUUUUUUCUUCUAAAAGGGAAAAUGAAAAGCUGGAACUUGAUUAUGAACAACAAGGGUUUCCUUACAGCCAGGAUUGUUCAUGAAGCCAAAAUGGGAAGUACUUGAAGCUCUACCUAACCUAGUCCAACCCCUUGCAAUGCAGGAAUCUCAGCUGAAGCAUCCCUGACA